UCCCCCUGACAAUGGGCAAAGAAAACAUCUUGUUGGUGGUGUUGUUCUUGUAGCAGUCAGGCACAGAGCAGAUGGCAGUCCUUUGUUCAUCCUAGCUCGAUGCCUGGCUUGAUGACCAAACUGUCUUAUGCCUAGGACUCAUAA
rfam:Mus musculus chromosome X, GRC primary reference assembly.